UGAGUAACCUGCCCUUAACUCUGGGAUAAGCCAGGGAAACUGGGUCUAAUACCGGAUAUGACUCCUCAUCGCAUGGUGGGGGGUGGAAAGCUUUUUGUGGUUUUUGGAUGGACUCGCGGCCUAUCAGCUUGUUGGUGAGGUAAUGGCUUACCAAGGCGACGACGGGUAGCCGGCUGAGAGGGUGACCGGCCACACGUGGGACUGAGAUACGGUCCAGACUCCUACGGGAGCAG
rnacentral:rRNA from 1 species